GCUUGACUAACUGUGGAAUGUAUUGUAGUGAACAGCCCAAGCUGCCAGAAAGAACAGAGAAGACAGAAGAAAAAGCAAUGGAAACUGGAACAUCUGUCCCCUUCAUGCUGCAAAAGCUAGUAACCAAGAUCUCACUGUUUCCUUCUCUAUCUGAAGGACAAACAGCAUAAAGCAGGGAUUGGAUUGAUAUGGGACACUACAGAAGAUGUUUGCUUAUAAUUAUUUCUAGCACUU
rnacentral:lncRNA from 1 species